CCUACGGGUGGCAGCAGUGAGGAAUAUUGGUCAAUGGGCGCGAGCCUGAACCAGCCAAGUAGCGUGAAGGAUGACUGCCCUACGGGUUGUAAACUUCUUUUAUAAAGGAAUAAAGUGAGGCACGUGUGCCCUUUUGUAUGUACUUUAUGAAUAAGGCACGGCUAACUCCGUGCCAGCAGACGCGGUAAUACGGAGGAUCCGAUCGUUUGCCGGAUUUAUUGGGGUUAAAGGGAGCGUAGAUGGGUCGUUAAGUCAGUUGUGAAAGUUUGCGGCGAAACCGUAAAAGUGCAAUUGAUACUGGCAGUCUUGAGUGGAGGUGAGGUAGGCGGAAUGCGUGGUGUAGCGGUGAAAUGCUUAGAUAUCACGAAGAACUCCGAUUGCGAAGGCAGCUUACUAACCUGCCACUGACAUUGAUGCUCGAAAGUGUGGGUAUCGAACAGGAUUAGAUACCCUUGUAGUC
rnacentral:rRNA from 1 species